GACGAACGCUGGCGGCGUGCCUAAUACAUGCAAGUUGAGCGCUGAAGGUUGGUACUUGUACCAACUGGAUGAGCAGCGAACGGGUGAGUAACGCGUGGGGAAUCUGCCUUUGAGCGGGGGACAACAUUUGGAAACGAAUGCUAAUACCGCAUAAAAACUUUAAACACAAGUUUUAAGUUUGAAAGAUGCAAUUGCAUCACUCAAAGAUGAUCCCGCGUUGUAUUAGCUAGUUGGUGAGGUAAAGGCUCACCAAGGCGAUGAUACAUAGCCGACCUGAGAGGGUGAUCGGCAACAUUGGGACUGAGACACGGCCCAAACUCCUACGGGAGGCAGCAGUAGGGAAUCUUCGGCAAUAGACGAAAGUCUGACCGAGCAACGCCGCGUGAGUGAAGAAGGUUUUCGGAUCGUAAAACUCUGUUGGUAGAGAAGAACGUUGGUGAGAGUGGAAAGCUCAUCAAGUGACGGUAACUACCCAGAAAGGGACGGCUAACUACGUG
rnacentral:rRNA from 1 species